rnacentral:tRNA from 1 species
GGAUAGCUCAGCGGCAGAGCGCCUCGUUUACACCGAGGAGGUCGCAGGUCCAAAUCCUGCACUGUCCACCA